GGAGAGGUGCCCGAGAGGCCGAAGGGGCUCGACUGGAAAUCGUGUGUAUGCCCAAAAGGUGUACCGUGGGUUCGAAUCCCACCCUCUCCGCCA
rnacentral:tRNA from 1 species